rnacentral:rRNA from 1 species
GGCGAACGCUGGCGGCGUGCUUAACACAUGCAAGUCGAACGGAAAGGCCCUGCUUGCAGGGUACUCGAGUGGCGAACGGGUGAGUAACACGUGGGUGAUCUGCCCUGCACUUCGGGAUAAGCUUGGGAAACUGGGUCUAAUACCGGAUAGGAGCCAUCUUUAGUGUGGUGGUUGGAAAGUUUUUUCGGUGUAGGAUGAGCUCGCGGCCUAUCAGCUUGUUGGUGGGGUAAUGGCCUACCAAGGCGGCGACGGGUAGCCGGCCUGAGAGGGUGUACGGCCACAUUGGGACUGAGAUACGGCCCAGACUCCUACGGGAGGCAGCAGUGGGGAAUAUUGCACAAUGGGCGCAAGCCUGAUGCAGCGACGCCGCGUGGGGGAUGAAGGCCUUCGGGUUGUAAACUCCUUUCGCUAGGGACGAAGCUUUGUGUGACGGUACCUAGAGAAGAAGCACCGGCUAACUACGUG